CAAACUAUGGGAAGGAAUGAAAAGCCAAUGUUUCAGGCAGAGACCCCUCAUCAGGACUUAAGAUGUUGCCUUCAUGCGUCUAACAUUUUCUUUACUUUGGAUUGCUUGGCAUGUGUUUUGCUUUGGCGAGACACUGAAAAUCGUGAAUGGAUGCAGAAUAUCUAAAAGUUGAAGUUCAAGUUAGAGGGUUCUUUUGAAGACCCGGACCUGGCACCACAUGCUGACUAUGAUUCUUUGCGGGUAUGGGACCUGCUCUCAGGGUUUCAUGAUUGGCCUUUGUUUGGCACACUGGGGUCUUGGCCUAAGAGUCCGGCUCGGCUUUGGAAGCCUAAGAUCUCGGGGCUCUGGAGAUGGGAGGAUCGAGGGUCAGUGUCACGACUGGAGACCCCUGUGUUGUAGGGGGAGUCGGAAUAUCUGCGGCUGUGUGCCCAGAGACUCGUGAUCUUUGGGCACAGAGCUUGAAAAAAGCGACGUGGCGGACUUUUAACAUCGUAAACCAGUGAGCUGUUUGUUAUGUCUACCCACUCACUGAAAACGGAGUCACCUCUUUCUCCUUUAUUAGGGAGAGAAAGAGCCUGUGGUAUGUCGAGUACCGGGUGAAAUGUGAAGAUCUUAGAGUAACUGCAAGUCUAUGCCUUUGCUGUUGCUUUGCUCACACUUGAGUGCUCAGUGGCGGGUGCCCAUGUUUUUAU